rnacentral:misc_RNA from 1 species
CAGUCUGCAGAUGCUUUGUUUCUGGUCUAUCUUACCAUGUCUGACGAAGAAGAAGGUCCAAUAGCUGUUGUGGCUAUCGACUUUGGGACUACAUAUUCUGGAUAUGCGUUUUCACUUCAAAAUCAAUUCCAAAAAGACCCCACACAGAUAUUUGCCUACACCAAUUGGAUUCCUUCCUCUGGAGGGUUGAUUUCGCCCAAGACACCGACAUCUCUGCUUUUGAAGCCCAACAAGGAUUUCUACAAGUUUGGCUACGAAGCAGAAGACACUUACGCAGAACUAGCUCUUGAUGGAAAACAUCAUGAAUAUUAUUUCUUCAGGAGAUUCAAGAUGCUUCUCCACAGAAACCCGGUAAAAUGCACUAAUAAUAAGAAAGUAAGGUGCAUAUAGAGAAACCGCUAACUAAUCAGUACUUUUUUUAUAUUUGUUUUAGAACCUAUCUCGAGACACAAAAAUAGCAGAUGCAACUGGAAAAGAGCUCCCCGCUAAAGUUGUUUUUGGACAUGGCAUUACGUAUCUUAAACAUCAUGCUGUUGAUUUGAUUAAACAACAAGGAUACGAAUUAGACGAUUGGGAUAUACGGUGGGUUUUAACUGUACCUGCUAUUUGGACAGCACCAGCUAAACAAUUUAUGAGAGAGGCGGCACAAAAGGCGGACAUAACGAACGACCAACUCCUCAUCGCCCUUGAACCAGAGGCAGCUUCUAUCUUCUGUCGAUAUAUCCCAGACGCGACAGGGCUUGAAAUCUUUAGAUCAGAAUCAAAGUAUAUGGUGAUUGAUCUAGGAGGGGGGACUGCCGACAUCACUGUUCAUCAGGUGGACAAUGAUGGGACAUUGAGAGAGUUGCACCGAGCAACAGGUGGUGCUUGGGGUGGGACAAAGGUAGAUGCGGCUUAUGAACAAUUCUUCAUUGACAUCGUGGGGGAAGAAGUUUGGAUGGAGUUUCGCGCAACUAACGGUGGAGACUACUUCGAUAUAUUCCGAGAGUUUGAGCUGAAGAAACGGACAGUCAAGGCGGAUAUGCAACCACGAAUCGUGGUGAAGGUUCCAAUGUCACUUCGUAAUUUGUACGACAGUAAAAAUACCGAAACAUUCAAUGACGCCGUUAAAAAUCAUGAAAUGUACUACCAGAGAAUUAGCACUAUAUCUGAUAAAUUAAAAAUCGAUUCUGAAUUGGUGAAGGGAUUUUUCAGGGAUCCUUUGGAUAAGCUUAUUGAGCAUUUACAGCAGGUGUUGAUGGUUCCAAAAGUAAGAGGUACAAAGACGUUUCUUUUGGUGGGUGGGUUCGCGGAAUCGCCCAUUGUACAAGACACACUGCGCGGGAAGUUUCCACACAUCAAACUGAUAACUCCUGCCGAUGCCGGGUUAACUGUGUUAAAAGGUGCCGUCAUUUUUGGUCAUAAGCCCCUUUCCAUCGGAUCCCGAAUUUCUCAUUUAACGUUUGGAAUUGCCAUCAGUAAGCCAUUCAUAGACGGCCACCAUCCAUCCGAAAAGAAGCUUUGUACUUCGAGUGGAAUUAUGUGCAGAGACAUUUUCCAUAAAUACAUAGAAAGUGAUGAAUCAGUGGAACAUGGAUGCAUGCAGACUGUGCCAUUAACAAUGGAUAAAGGGUCGACAAUUAGCCGAGUCCGUGUUUAUUCAUCCUCCAGUAAGGAUCCUAUGUUUGUGACUGAUGAAGGAUGUAGGCAGUUAGGGGAGAUGAUCAUCAAUGUGGGCAGUAUUGAAGAUGCCUCUAAUCACGUGUCUGUAGGCCUGAGCUUCGGCAAGACCGAGCUGACAGUGGAAGCAAGAGAGAAGACAUCCGGACAGAUCUUUCGAGCACGAUUUGAUUUUCUGAAUAAUUAAGUAUUCUGAAGACAGUUUAAAUGUAUAUUUUUCAGGGAGGCGGUCUCUGUGAAAAUAUUUUUUUGGUUUUUGGCAUUUAUCAUUUGCAUACACAUUUAUUUUUUUUUUAUUGUUUUGUGAAAAUUAUCAUUAUUAAGCAGACAACCUGUUACAUGUAUAUUCAUGACUUGUGUUAAUAUAAAUGUAUAUAUUGCUACAUGUUUAUUCACAAAGGAAAAGACAUCCAUUACAUUAUAAUGUUUAUUGCUACAAAUAUAUAACAUUUAUGUAGAAUAAAACCGACAAGGUGUCCUCAUUUUUUUUUAAAAUAAACCUACUACUAAGACUGCAAUCGAUUGAAAUAAGGGUUUAUAAUCGAUUCAUUACUGAGUUUAACAUGAAUUACGAUUUACAAUAAGUAAAUGGUUUUGAUUUUAAACAAGAGCUUUACAUGUACAUAUUUCUUGAUUUUUUAAAAUUAAAGCUGUAAGCACUAUUAAUUUUCCAAACACUU